rnacentral:rRNA from 1 species
UACGUAGGGCGCAAGCGUUGUCCGGAUUUAUUGGGCGUAAAGAGCUCGUAGGCGGCUCAGUUAGUCGGGUGUGAAACCCCCGGGCUCAACCCGGGGACGCCACCCGAUACUGCUGUGGCUAGAGUCCGGUAGGGGAGCGUGGAAUUCCUGGUGUAGCGGUGAAAUGCGCAGAUAUCAGGAGGAACACCAGCGGCGAAGGCGGCGCUCUGGCCCGAUACUGACGCUGAGGCACGAAAGCGUGGGGAGCAAACAGG